CCUACGGGUGGCAGCAGUGGGGAAUAUUGCACAAUGGGCGCAAGCCUGAUGCAGCCAUGCCGCGUGUGUGAAGAAGGCCUUCGGGUUGUAAAGCACUUUCAGCGGGGAGGAAGGCGUUAAGGUUAAUAACCUUGUCGAUUGACGUUACCCGCAGAAGAAGCACCGGCUAACUCCGUGCCAGCAGCCGCGGUAAUACGGAGGGUGCAAGCGUUAAUCGGAAUUACUGGGCGUAAAGCGCACGCAGGCGGUUUGUCAAGUCGGAUGUGAAAUCCCCGGGCUCAACCUGGGAACUGCAUUCGAAACUGGCAGGCUAGAGUCUUGUAGAGGGGGGUAGAAUUCCAGGUGUAGCGGUGAAAUGCGUAGAGAUCUGGAGGAAUACCGGUGGCGAAGGCGGCCCCCUGGACAAAGACUGACGCUCAGGUGCGAAAGCGUGGGGAGCAAACAGGAUUAGAUACCCCAGUAGUC
rnacentral:rRNA from 1 species